CGUCUGGUAGCAUCUCUGGCUGCUGUUGAUCUUGUUUUUGGAGUAAAACAUGGUGGAAGCUGAAUUAGUGAGGAUGACUCCUGCUCCUGUCAUCUCUAAGCUCCUCACACAUCUUUACCUGCACAUGAGGAAAAUCACUCCUGUAGAAUGCAGUGGUUCAUCAGAACCUCUGGGGAUGUCCUGUGGAUUCUGUGGAUCCUGUGGGUUGCAGGGUGGAUCCUACCUAGACCAGGCUGAUCCUGGACCAUCCCACAGAUGCUCCAUCAGAUGUGGAUGUGGGGAGUGUGGAACCCAGAUGUUCAGAGGGAGAUGAUGCCACAUCUGGUCCAGCUGAUGGAAGGUCUUGAAGUUCUCUGACUGGCCUCGACUGAAGAUGGUCGUCUCACUGGAUUUAAGGUUCAGAUGCUCAGUAACAAACUCCACCAAUGAGCCAACAGGGAAGCUUUAGGUUUAUUAAAUGUUGCUAUGAAGGUAUCGCUGUUUUUCUUUGUGAAUGCAAUGUGCUCCAACUGAAACUUGAAGUAGAACUUAGAAGUAAAUCCUUCCAUCUGAAAGGAUUUAGUUGCAUUAAUAACCUCAUAACAUUCUAAUUUUUAUUCCAGUCUUGGUUGGAAAUAGAAUCUCUGUAUUGAUUCAGGUAAAGACUGAACUUCACAGCAUGUUGAAGCAAAACAACCAGAUGAAAACUGUGAUGGUGUUGGAUUGUCAGACCGUAAUGUUGCAGCUCAAAGCAGCUUUUCUAUCUCAGUUCAUUCUGACAUUCAGCUAUGAAUCAACACAGCAGAUGGUGAUCCAUGCUGUGGAAGUCUCACAUCUCCUGAUUUAAUGGAGCUGCUUUGCACUUUUUACACUGUUUAUUCACCAACACUUUAUUUAAUAAAAGUCCCAUCUAGUUUUCAUGAGGAAUGUGAUGUUUUAAUUUCUCUGUGAAUAACUGCAGUCUAAUGCAACAGCUGGAAUUGUAACAUCUGUCCUGAUAUUGAUCAUGAAGUAUUGAUCAGAAUACUUAUGGUCAGCAUUCAUCCCUGAAGUUUUACAUUAAAAUCUUUACUUGUGUUGUGAACUUUGGUAAGAAGCAGAAACGUUAGCGUUGCCAUGGAUACAUGAGUGUUAAAUUCUGUCCAUGUUUCCAUUUUGGGAAAUGCAGUCCAGUUCCAGAAUGUGGACGAAUUUAGUCUCACAAUCACAGACAACAAAUAUUAUCUGAAAGUCUGAUUAUUGUUGUUUAUCAGCACAAUACAAAAGAUUAAUGUUAGAAAUAUUCCAGUUAAGACUCUAGAAUAUCAUGAUUUAUGUAAAUUUACCUCAAUAAUAUGAAUGUUCAGGUUAAGAUUGUACAGUGAUAUUUAUUAUGUAAGUUUAGCUGAUUAAAGUUUGUGACUCUGCACUAAAAUACUAUUUAAAUUUACAUCAUUAUUAUAAUAUUUAGGGUUAGACCCUACAGUAUUGAAAUUAAGAAAUCAAAUAUUCUAUAAAAUGUAAAUAUACUGAACUCAUUUGGAUAUAUUUAAGUGGGACUCCACAAUAUUAUUUGACACAAAUCUAUCUAAAUCAAAAUUUUAAUAAUUUUCACAAUCCUCUGCUGUAUGUUCAAACCUGAGGCCU
ensembl:lncRNA